CAAUAGCGUAUAUUGAAGUUGUUGCGGUUAAAAAGCUCGUCGUUGGAUUUCUGUUGAGGUCGAACAGUGCCGCCCUAUGGGUGCGCAACUGGCUCGGCUUCGGCAUCUUCUUGGAGAGCGCAUCUGCACUUAACUGUGUGGAUCGUACUUCAAGUCAGUUACUUUGAGGAAUUGUGAGUGUUUCAAGGAGGCUUACGCCGUUGAAUCCGUUAGCAUGGAAUAAUAGGAUAGGACCUCGGUUCUAUUUUGUUGGUUUUGAGAGCUGGGGCAGCGAUUGAUAGGGACGGAUGGGGGCGUCCGAACUUUACUGUCAGAGGUGAAAUUCUUAGAUCGGUCAAAGGCGAACUACUGCGAACGCAUUCGCCAAGAAUGUUUUCUUUAA
rnacentral:rRNA from 1 species